GCCUGUGUCUCUGCCUUUCUCUCUGUGUGUCUCUCAUGAAUAAAUAAAAUAUAUUAAAAAAGAAAGUGCAUCAAACAGGUUGUGCACCUGUGAUUUUUAUUUCUGUCCUCUGUGUGGUUUUGUGUGAGGAAACGGGCAUCCUCCAGCAUGAAAUUCUGGUUCUUAGGAGCUGGAGAUGAAGUUCUCCUCCUCGCCACCAGAGGGGGGGUGGGGGGGAGACAGAGAGAGAGAGAGAGAGAGAGAGAGAGAGAGAGCGCGCCCCAGAGCGAGCGUGUGUGCGGCCUCUCUGUGGCCCCUGCCAACUCCAUAUAUGAGAUUGUUUGUGCAAACCUCAGGUGUGAAUCCCUUUCCAUUUGCCUCUCCCCCCCCCGCCCCCACCCCGGAGGACAAUCAGAAGAGGUCCUGUCCCAGCGCGUCCCCAUCACAGGCAGAACUUUCCGGGCUCAUCCGUGCCCCACUUGCCCGUGACACAGCGGUGUUCACACUCACCAGCGCCUCUACCUCCCUGUGCCGUCAGCCUGGGGUGAGCUGCUCUCUCGCUAGACCCCCGUCAUCCUCCCGCUACCUCGUCCACGCGGGUCCUUCGUGAUUCCAACUAAAACACAUGCCGUUCGUCUCCUGCAUUGGUGUCCACGUGAAUACGUUCAAAAGCUCCUCAAACGUCUGCUGUACACACGACCACGUGCGUAUUCUGUUAGGGUCCCGACAAGGUGUGAUGAAUUCCCUCAGAAGGGACGCCAGGGCGCCUGAGCGGCCCAGUGGGUGGAGGGGCUGACUCCCUGUCUCAGCUCAGGUCUCCAUCUCAAGGUCAUGAGUUCAAGCCCUGCAUGGGCCCAGCAUGGAGCCCACUUAAAUUUAAAAAUAAUAAUUAAACAAAAAGAAGGGACUCAAAGGAAGCUUCACAAGAGGGCAACCCCUGAGCUACCUUUUGGAGGAAGUCCAGGAGUUUAUCAGGAAUCCAGGCAGAAGGGCAUCAUGCCCCAAGGCAUGCCGCGGCCGCCAGUGGUGUGGAGUGCGGGUAACCACGGGCAGGUUGCUCUUGCCAGGGUGCGAAAGACUCGGGCUGGGCACAGCAGGAGGAGAUGAAGCUGGGAGUGGAUGUGGGAUGGUGACGAGUCACAAAACCUGAUCUGCAUGUUAGGUGCCAGGGAGCCCGGACUUCACGCCUUUAACUGAGGUCCAUUAAAGGGUAAUAAAGCCGCGUAGCAUGAUCAGGUGUGAACUGUAGAAAGUUCACAAAAGACUGCAGUAUAAAAGCUAGAUUAGACAAUGGAAGAACUGGAGGCCCGGGGGACCCAGCUCAGAGGGAGUGAUGAUAAUAAUAAAUAUAAUAAAAACUGAUAAUAUAAAUAACAUACAAAUAUAACCAAAUAAUAAUAAUAAUAAUAAUAAGAGGCGACUGCUGCAGAGGAUCUGAAUGAAGGCAGCAGCAAUAGCAUGGAGCAGAGGAGGUCCAAAAGGCAAUCGAAGAAGAAUCUUCGACGCUGGCUGAGCAGAUGUGUGUUGGGCGGAGGGGCAGCGGCGGUGGCGGUAGAAAAGGAGAAGAAUCCCGAUGGAUUUUCUGGCUUAGUCAACGGGAUGAGCACGGUGCCUUCAACUGAAAAUGGAAAUAUGUCAGAGAAGGAACUAGUUUGGGAGGAAGAUGAUGAGCUCCAUUCUGGAGGAGGACUGGAGAUCCUCAGUAAACAGACAAGUGGUAACAGCCAGGAGCCUGUGGGUUGGAUAAUCGGGCAUUGAGCUCAAGGGGAGGGGAGCCUGGGGAGCUCAGUCAGGUAGGUGUCUGCCUCUGGCUCGGGUUAUGACCCCCUGUGGGGCUCCCUGCUUGGUGCGGAGCCCGCUUCUCCCUCUCCUCUGCCCCUCCUCCCCUGCUUGUGCUCUCAAAUAAGUAAGUAAAAUCUUAAAAAAGAAAAAAAAGAAAAAAGAAAAGAGCUCGAAGGGAGAUGAUAGCUGGAAAGGCGGAGUCUACCAGACUACCAGUCCCCCGCAGUAGUUCAAGCCACGGGCAUGGAUGAGCCGGGCAGCAGCAUGGGGAGACAGCAGGGAAGAGGAAGGAGGGAAAGGCAGGAGCCCAAAGCUGAGGUUGAAGCCCCAAGAGGAAUGGACAUGUGAUGGGGAGGCAGAGAAAGGAAUCCGGAGGAGCGGAUGGAAAAGAGAUGUGGGUAGAACAGGUUCAGCAGGGGAGUCCAGAGAAGACGGAGUCCGGGGAGAGGAGGGGUAAUCAACUGUACCAACAUCCUAGAAGCUCUCUCCACCAACGGUGUUCCGCGAGUGGGAAUUCUUGGUGGGAUGGUUUCAGUGCAAACACCAAAAUACUAGGGUUCAGGCCUUCGUGGUAAAAGAGAGGUGUUCUCUCCAGGGACCCUGGACCAGAGCGCUCUGGGAUUCGGGGACAGCAGGCACAGCUGGGGACAGGGCCUUCACACUAAAAACAAGGGGGUUAAGGGAAGGUGACACAUGGAAGUGUAAGAUCCACUCACCCCCUCCUACUUCUGCUCCGGAGGCGAAAGCUCCUACUAGGCCCACCCUGGCUGGAGACUUGAAGAUUCUGAUCCAGGGAAACUAACCCUCCCAAGAGAAGGCGUUGACGUUGGAGAGACCUGCCAUGAGGCCACCACGCUGCCGCUUGAUCGCCCUGGAGUCAGAGCCGUGAGAAACCAGCCCCACCCAUACACAGAGCUUCCUGUCAGCUCUUGGGUGUCUUAAAUGUAUAUAUACAAAUGGACAUUUAAGGAUAGCGGGUUUUUUAUUUUAUUUUAUUUUUAUUUUAUUUUUAAAGAUUUUAUUUAUUUAUUCAUGAGACACACACACAGAGAGAGAGAGAGAGAGAGAGAGGCAGAGGGAGAAGCAGGCUCCAUGCAGGGAGCCCGAUGUGGGACUCGAUCCUGGGUCUCCAGGAUCAGGCCCUGGGCUGAAGGCGGCACUAAACUGCUGAGCCACCCGGGCUCCCCUGGAUCACCAGGUUUUUUAAAAAAAUUUAUUUAUUUAUUUCAGAAAGAGAGCAAGAAUCCUCCAGCAGACUCCCCACUGAGCAUGGAGCCCGAUGUGGGGCUUGAUCCCAGGGACCCAUGAUCGCGUCCUGAGCUCAAACCAAGAGUCAGACGCUUAACCAACUGAGCCACCCAGGUGCCCCAGAAUCACCAGAUAUUUAAGGAAAAUGUCUAAGUUGAAAGAGAACUCAAAGAAGCAGAUCAAAAGCUAUGUGGAAAAAGCACCCAAUGCAAGGAACAGAACAAAGCGUCAAGAAACUGUGGUUUGUAGAGAGAGGGAGAAGUUAUUUUGUCCAUGAAAUAAGAACACGGUGCUGUAUAAAGAGGAAAAGAGACAUUCAGAAAAUGUUUUAAAACUCUUGGAAGUUAGAAAUACGAUAGCAACGAUCUAACAUUCAUUCACUAGAAGGGCUGGGGGAGACAGUUGAAGAAAUCUUCCCAAAAGUAUGGGAAAUAGACCCGGAAGGAUAAGAAAAUGAAAGGAUCACCCAGGACGUCAAAUGUUUUACUAUUUGUAGCUCCAGAAAGAGAGAUCAGAGAAUUUAGAAGGAGAUGGUUAUCAGAGAAAUGAAACGUACACCUCCCAGAACGGAAGGGUCGGGGCUCGCCAAGCACCCAGCGCCGUUACGACGGGGACCUAAGGCAGAGGGGACAAAAGAUAUUUCAGGCUCCCAGGGAGAAAAAGUGGGUCACAUACAAAAGACUGAGAAGUUGAAUGGCUGUGCAUCUCUCAGUAGCAAUACUGGAAACUAGGAGACAAUAGAAAAAAUGCCUUCAAAAUUCUAAGGGAAAACAGUUGCUAAUUAGAAUGCUAUAGAUACCCAGCCAAACUAUCAGUCUGCAGCAGGAGGUGGGGGCAGGUGCAGUGGGGCGGGCGGGGGCCGCAGGUGCACGCAAGUUAUAAAGGGAGGUGCGUCUGGGUUUAGGGUCUGCCUUUAGUUCAGGUCGUGACCCCGGGGUCCCGGGAUCGAGCCCCUCCUCAGGCUCCCUGCAUGGAACCUACUUCUCCCUCUGCCUGUGUCUGUCCUUGUCUCUGUGUGUCUCUCCUGAAUAAAUCAAUAAAAUCUUUUUUUUAAAAAGCCACUUUAUGAAAAAAAAAGCCACUUUAUGAAUAUAUACGGUUGAUUCAUUAGCGUUGAAGUCAUGCCCAGCAGCACCGUAACUCAACCUGCACAAAGCUUUUCUAACACAUGUAUUUUCUCUGAGACACAUCGCAGCAGGGGCGCCUGGGGGCUCAGUGGGUUAAGUGUCUGCCUAAGGCUCAGGUCACGACCCUGGGGUCCUGGGAUGGAGCCCCGCAUCGGGCUCCCUGCUUGGCGGGGGGUCUGCUUCUCCCUCUGUGCCCGUGCACGCUCUCUCAAGUAAGAAAUAAACUCUUUAAAAAUACAUGUGUGUGUGUGUGGUUAGAAGGGUCUUAGUUGUCAUUGUUAGAGAAAAGCAAAGAAAAAAAUCCAGAUAAUCUAAACUGGACUUUGGAAUGGGGCUGCAUAUUUACAUAUUGAAACGCUGUUCUCAUAUUCCAGACACAUUGAAAGAACUGAACAUUUUUUCAUUUUUUUUAAUUUUUUUCUUUUUUUUUAAUUUAUUUAUUCAUGAUAGUCACACGGAGAGAGAGAGAUAGGCAGAGACACAGGCAGAGGGAGAAGCAGGCUCCAUGCAGGGAGCCUGACGUGGGAUUCGAUCCCAGGUCUCCAGGAUCGUGCCCUGGGCCAAAGGCAGGCGCCAAACCGCUGCGCCACCCAGGGAUCCCUGAACAUUUUUUUUUUUUUUUUUUUUUUUUAUGAUAGUCACACAGAGAGAGAGAGAGAGAGGCAGAGACACAGGCAGAGGGAGAAGCAGGCUCCAUGCACCGGGAGUCCAACGUGGGAUUCGAUCCCGGGUCUCCAGGAUCCUGCCCUGGGCCAAAGGCAGGCGCUAAACCGCUGCGCCACCCAGGGAUCCCCCUGAACAUUUUUUAAAAAAGAAAAAAACAGGAUGUAUCGCGGCCUCCUGGCGCACAGGAACCCCGGCAGCCCCGCGCCCCGCGCUUGGGCCCUUUCAAGCCGCGCAGUCACCGACCAGCAGUGCAGGGAGGCCAGGAGCACGCCCAGGGCCACCGCCACCGGGGCCGGGCCGCCCCCCACCGGGCCCGUCUGCGGGUGACCACGGGGCUGCCAGCACGCGUCCUAACAGGCCGAUUUGCAGGCACGGAAUCCACCGGGGGAGACGACCGACCGUAUCACGGUCACCAGUUCACGGCUGGCGUGGCCACGCGUGGCAGAGGCAUGGUUCAGACCCCAUGGGUCGGGCGUCCACACCCAGGGCCCCCUGCACCCUGUUCUCCGGGCCAGGCCUCUCGUUCCCUAGAUGAGGUCCCGAGCCCCAAAGCUGAGUCGCCUGUGGCCACCCGGGUGUCAGGGCAGCCGGGGGGCUGCAGCCUAGCCCUGAACCCGCAGACUGUCCCAUUUUCUCACAACAGCACCCCUCCUUUCAUGAAGUGCCUGAGCCCCGGUGUUGCGCCCUCUUGCCUCCCAUCCUGUGUCUCCCCUGCUGCCCCCAGAGGCCUGGGAACUGGAUGGGGAGCGGUGAGCGCGGGGGGCCACCCUGGG
rnacentral:lncRNA from 1 species